rnacentral:ncRNA from 1 species
GUGUUGUAUGAAAGGAGAGAAUGUUAACACUUAGGAUGCAGGAAGCACAUGGAUGGAACUGUCCCAUGUGACCUGGAAUAUAUAUACGAUUAAGGCACUGCCUGCUACUUCGUGGUAUCUCUAACAAAGUUUAUU